rnacentral:lncRNA from 1 species
GGUGGCUCACGUCUGUAAUCCCAUCACUUUUGGAGGCCGAGGCAGGUGGAUCACCUGAGGCUAGGAGAUCAGGACCAGCCUGGCCAAUGUGGUGAAACCUGUCUCUAAUAAAAAUACAAGCUGAAAGGCUGUGCCCCAAGAAUCCCUUGAGCCUGGGAGGCAGAGGUUGCAGUGAACCGAGAUCAUGCCACUGCACUCCAGCCUGGGUGACAGAGUGAGACUUUGUUUCAAAAACAAAACAAAAACCAAUUUAAUGAUAAAAAAAGAAUCAGAGUGAAAAGAGCUGGCCAUGCUCCACAAAGAGACCUAACCAAUAUGAAAAGGAAGUUGUUGGGCUGCUUCUCCUCCCUGCCACAUCUACCCCACUUAAAUAAUAUGUGAAGAGGUCCCUGGGCUUUGAUGUAAGACUGGCAGGGUCAGUUCCUGGUUCUGAUAUGCACUUUGCCCAUCUGAGCAAGGGUUCAAGGAACCAGGAGAGAAGCAGGCAAGCCCCAAGGUCUGGCUUUGGCCCAGCCCAGGUUUGCAUUCUAUAUGGAAAAUGUGGCCACAUAAAAGAGAAAACAUCUGUUAAGCUCAAAUUCCAUUUUGAAAUCAACAAAUGUGCUUCACCCAACCACCUCAAAUCUGGGAGAGAUGGCCCACUCGAAAUAAAGGUUAACAACCUUCAAGUUUAGUUCCCAAGUUUUUCUAUCAUUUUCCCAAUUAUGCAUUGCCUCAUUAGCUUUUCAUCCCUAUUUAAACAAGUAAGUCUGGGCUUAAGUUAAAACACAUAGGCAAGAAUUAGCAAGGCUUUCUUUAAAAACAACAACAACAACGUAGGCCAUAUAUCUUCCAAGAAAUCUCUAUGAAGAGAUGUGUUUUUGUACUGUACCAGGAAGCAGCUGUGGUACAAGAAGAGUGGGAACUUGAACUCUUAAAAGCUGUUUUUAAUCUCAACUAAGCCACGUUGCCAGUUAACCUCUCUAAUUUUGUCAUCUCUUCUGUAAAAUGGAAAUUAAUGAUGCCUUCCCCACAGGGCUGUUUUGGGGAUAAAAUAAGACAGUCACCAGGAAACUGCUUGGCAAAUUGUAAAGUGCAGUAUAAAUAUAAGAGAUAUUAACUACAAAUGGCCGUAUGGGAGGUUUUAACAGUAAACUAGAGAAAAUUCUGAGGCAGUGCAAAUUCAGAAAGGAAAUUAUAAGAGUAGAUUUAACCAUCCUAAUAGUGAUGAUAAUGUAAUAUCAGAAUAUUGGUGAGUUACAACGUAUACCAUAUUUAAGUGUUUACAAGUGUUCAUGUUCCUUAAAUGUCAUGAACCAACCUCUGUUAGCUUCCAGCUUUUCCUCUGCAGCUUCUUCCCCUCUCUCAGCCUUCACGGAAUUGAAGAGAGUCAGGGCCUUGCUCUGGACUAGGCUUUGGCUGAAGGGAAUAAACUUACUUCGUAUCGGCAGUAAGGCUGGCUCACUUUCCUAUCAUUUGUGUGUUCAGUAGAGUAGAACUUUUCACUUUAUUCAAAAACUCUUUGUUUGCAUUCACAACUUGGCAACCUGCUUGGCACAAAAGGCCUUGCUUUAAGCCUGUCUCAGCUUCCAACAUGCCUUCCUCACUCAGCUUGGUCAUUUCUAGCUUUUAAUUUAAAGUGAGAGAUGUGUGUCUCUGCUUUUCACUUGAAUACUUAGAAGCCAUGGUGGGGUUAUUAAUUUGCCCAGUUUCCCCAAUUUCAGGAAAUAGGGAGGCCUGAGGAAAGGGCUUCCCUAUUCCCAGUUGUUUGGCACCCCCAAAACAAUGACAACAGUAACGUCAAAGAACCCUGACCACAGAUCAUUAUAGCAGAUGUAAUAAUCAUGGAAAAGUUUGAAAUAUUGCAAGAAUUACCAGAAUGUGACACAGAAACUUGAUGUGAGCAUGCGCUGUUGGAAAAAUGGCACCAAUAGACUCACUGGAUGCAGGCUUGCCCCAAACCUUCAAUUUGUAAGAAGUUUGAUAUCUCUGAAGCACAAUAAAGUGAAGCACAUUAAAGCAAAACAUGCCUAUAUGUGCACUUGACAAAAUUUCCAGUAACGUAAAUACUCUAAAAUUCUACUUUGCCUAUAUAUUAUAUAUGCACAUUUAUGUAGAUAUUUUGCAUUUAAAUAAACAUUAAUAUGAAGGAACAUAUACAUAAAAUGAUCUAUAAUAUAAUUUAUGGACAAUUUAAAAGAUUUUUAAGGGUAGAUUUUGGACUAUAAAUAAACUUACUACUUUUCACACUCAACCCCUGCAGAGAAGAUGGGAACUGGCAGUAUAGUCUAAUUAUUUAAGUAGGAGUGUUGGGUAUCAUUGUGUUAUUUCGGGGCAUAGUUCUCAAAUUUUCUUAAGUGAACUGUAAGUGAAUGGAAAUGUGUGUGUGUGUGUGUGUGUGUGUGUGUGUUUGCAUGCAUGCAUAUGCAUAUGGAAACAUCAAAAUUGAUUUGCCCAGGUACUCCACUUGAGCACAAAAUCACAGGCAUGAAUAUACAAGGAAAUUUGAAUGUGUGUUUGUCAGCAACCGAAUAUUUGGCAAAGAGGAAAAUUAAAAUAGAUUGCACUUAGAGCUCGAGGAAGGAAGAAUAAACACAAAUUUACAGGUGAGUGUUAGCAAACAGCAUAUAUAUUGAAUAGUAGUCUGAAAUAGACCCAUCUGAACUCGGUGGGAAAUUGACAUUCUGUUUGUGCUACUGCAUAUUAGACCUGGAAGCCUCAAGUUAUAUUUCUCAAUAGCAAUGCAGCAAAUUACUAUAUCUACAUGGCAGGCACUUGGCUCUUAAGAGCUGGCAAGAUUGAGGGUUAUUUGAGGCAUUUAAAAUAAAAAUUGCAGAUAAGAUCGAAUCAGUGUGGUCAAUCAGCAAGAGAGUCAACAGGUAUUUAUGACACAACCACUUAUCUAUGUAUAUUUUUUAACGCCUGUGCUUGAUGGGAUCAGAAUGGGGAAAAGACCCAAAACAUUAGAUCUAACAGGAGAUCUGUGGCUCUGGGUUAGAAGGCCAAAUGGUAAUAAACGAGGGCUUUGGGGUCACACACAUCUGCCGCCAGAACCUGGACACCUCUUACUGUCUAAGGAAUUGCCACAUUUUAGGUGAGGGCUAGGUUCUGAAUCAGCUCAUUAAAAGCAAAAGUCACAUACAGUCAGAAUUAUCUUUGAAAUUUUCUUUUUUUUUUUUUUUUUUUUUUUUUUGAGACGGAGUUUCACUCUUGUUACCCAGGCUGGUGUGCAAUGGCGCAAUCUCGGCUCACCACAACCUCCGCCUCCUGGGUUCAGGCAAUUCUCUUGCCUCAGCCUCCCAAGUAGCUGGGAUUACAGGUACGCACUACCGUGCCCAGCUAAUUUUUUUUUGUAUUUUUAGUAGAGACGGGGUUUCACCAUGUUGACCAGGAUGGUCCCAAUCUGCUGACCUCGUGAUCCACCCGCCUCGGCCUCCCAAAGUGCUGGGAUUACAGGCUUGAGCCACCGCGCCCGGCCGAAAUUUUCUUAUGCUUUCUAUCCUUAAGCCUUUUUAUUUUUUUUUCCAUUACUAAAUUAAGAAUGUUUGAACCCCUAUGCCAUUAGAAGAUAGAAAUUUAAUAUCAGCCAAGACAAACACAUACUACUCAGGAGGCUGAGACAAGAGGAUUUCAGGAGUUUAAGACCAGCAGUUCAAGGUUGCAGUGAGCUAUGACAGCACCAUGCACCCUGCCAGGGCAACAGAGCAAUACAGCAUCUCUAAAAAGUAAAUACUUUUAAAAACAAAUAAAAGACAGAGAAACACACACACACAAUUGUGUGCAGCCUUCUCUCAUCAUCUUUAUGCCCACUAAAGUCUGAGAAUUGCUGUGCUAAUAAAAGCCAACAAGAAAGUCUAUGUGUGGAUAUCUGGACUUUGGUAUCAUCCUGCCUUUAAGAUACGAUACUAUCAAAUCCCCAGUGUGAGAAGCAGAUGGUAAGACUUCUAAAGUGUUCCUGCUUGCCUUCAGGGUUUACUCUAUUCAGUUAUAAUAAUAAGCCUCUCUGACUUUAAUACAUGUUAAUAGACGUAUUUGAUGUUUUGAGGAUUAGAUGAAACAGUGGAUGGCAACUUCUUUGAGGGUUAAAUUCGAAAAUCGGUAUGUUAGUUGCAUGUACUUUGUGACACUUCUUCAUUUACGUGAUCUUUGUCAAUGUACUUAACCUAACUGUGCCUCAUUUGCCUUGUCUGCAGGAUGUGUAACACACAAUACCUACUUAACGGAGUUGGUGACACUUAUAAGUAUGAUAAUGCAGAAAGAGCUGUUGGCAGACUGGUAGCAAGAAAUUAAAACAUAGUAACUCUUUUAUUAGUAUUCCAAAUUAUUGUUGUCGUGGUUGAGACAAUUAUUAUUACUUGUAUGCUCUGAGACUUUGGACAUGUUACCAGAUCUUCCUGUGCUUUAGUCAUUCAUCUGUCAAAAGGGAGCAAGAUAUCUUUUCCUCCUACCUCAAAGAGCUGCAGAAGGAACAACAACAAAAAAAAGACAAGGGGUUGGAAAAGCAUGAAAGGUUGUACAAGUAGAAGGUGAAAACAGAAUAAUGAAACACGAUAUUCAAAUCCCAAGUCACCCCAGUUUCACGGAUGUUGCAAACCAAUGUAAUCUGCAGAUCAAGGCAUGUGUCUGAAUAGCAACACAGUUGGGACCCAGGGAGAUUGUAAAUGUCUGGAUUUGGCCUGCCCACACCCCUGGAGAAACAGCUUAAAGUGCAUGCCCUCUGGAAGGGGGCGUGGACAUCUUGCUGCGGAAUACACAGGAGCCUGCGUUCCUCCCAAAAACUGCUACCGUGAAAAGUGGACUUGUGCAGCUGACAUAAGUAUAUAGGUCUCUAGCCCAAAUGGCAAGAAACCUAAUGUCAUUUUUUUCACAACUGAGUUAAAUUCUUAUUAUAAGCAUUAUCGUUAUUAAUAUAAUUCGUAUUAUAAUACACCAUUGUUUGACAGAAAUGAAAUCUCUGUCAAGUAAGGGGGUCUAGGUUAAUUCAGCUUCCUGCGAUUGUGUGUAAGUUCCAGGGUGUUUACAGACA